rfam:Asian citrus Psyllid, Diaphorina citri - Florida Strain, whole genome shotgun sequence.
GUCUUGGUAGCGCGUCUGCUUUGUAAGCGGUAGGUCGCGGGUUCGAUUCCCGCCCGGGAAG